AUUGAACGCUGGCGGCAGGCUUAACACAUGCAAGUCGAGCGGGGGAAGGUAGCUUGCUACCGGACCUAGCGGCGGACGGGUGAGUAAUGCUUAGGAAUCUGCCUAUUAGUGGGGGACGACAUCUCGAAAGGGAUGCUAAUACCGCAUACGUCCUACGGGAGAAAGCAGGGGAUCUUCGGACCUUGCGCUAAUAGAUGAGCCUAAGUCGGAUUAGCUAGGUGGUGGGGUAAAGGCCUACCAAGGCGACGAUCUGUAGCGGGUCUGAGAGGAUGAUCCGCCACACUGGGACUGAGACACGGCCCAGACUCCUACGGGAGGCAGCAGUGGGGAAUAUUGGACAAUGGGCGCAAGCCUGAUCCAGCCAUGCCGCGUGUGUGAAGAAGGCCUUAUGGUUGUAAAGCACUUUAAGCGAGGAGGAGGCUACUUUAGUUAAUACCUAGAGAUAGUGGACGUUACUCGCAGAAUAAGCACCGGCUAACUCUGUGCCAGCAGCCGCGGUAA
rnacentral:rRNA from 1 species